GACGAACGCUGGCGGCGUGCUUAACACAUGCAAGUCGAACGGAAAGGCCCUGCUUUUGUGGGGUGCUCGAGUGGCGAACGGGUGAGUAACACGUGAGUAACCUGCCCUUGACUUUGGGGUAACUUCAGGAAACUGGGGCUAAUACCGGAUAGGAGCUCCUGCUGCAUGGUGGGGGUUGGAAAGUUUCGGCGGUUGGGGAUGGACUCGCGGCUUAUCAGCUUGUUGGUGGGGUAGUGGCUUACCAAGGCCUUGACGGGUGGCCGGCCUGGGAGGGUGACCGGCCCCGUCAGGAUGGGAAUACGACACAGCCCCCUAUCGGAGGCAGGAGUGGGGAGUAGUGCAUAAUGGGCGGAAGGCUGACGUAACAACGCCGCGUGCGGGAUGUGGUCAUGCGGUUUGUAUUCCGAAGUCGCUUUUGACGAAGUGUGAGUGACGGUAAUGGGAAAAUAAGCACCGGCUAACUACGUG
rnacentral:rRNA from 1 species